rnacentral:rRNA from 1 species
CAAGUCGAACGGUAACGCGAGGAGCUUGCUCCUUGGCGACGAGUGGCGGACGCCAUAGUAAUACUUAGGAAUCUGCCCAGGAGAGGGGGACAACAUCUUGAAACGGAUGCUAAUACCGCAUACGCCCUACGGGGGAGAGCGGGGGGUCUUCGGACCUCGCGCUAUUGGAGGAGCCGAACUCGGAUUAGCUUGUUGGUGAGGUAAAGGCUCACCAAGGCGACGAUCCGUAGCUGGGCUGAGAGGACGAUCAGCCACACUGGGACUGAGACACGGCCCACACUCCUACGGGAGGCAGCAGUAGGGAAUAUUGGACAAUGGGCGCAAGCCUGAUCCAGCAAUGCCGCGUGUGUGAAGAAGGCCUGCGGGUUGUAAAGCACUUUCAGUAGAGAAGAGAGGCUUCUGGUUAAUAACCGGGAGUCUUGACGUAACCUACAGAAGAAGCACCGGCUAACUCCGUGCCAGCAGCCGCGGUGAGACGGAGGGUGCGAGCGUUAAUCGGAAUUACUGGGCGUAUAGCGCGCGUAGGCGGCUUUGUAAGUCGGAUGUGAAAUCCCCGGGCUUAACCUGGGAGCUGCAUUCGAUACUGCAGAAAUAGAGUAUGGAAGAGGGAAGUGGAAUUUCCGGUGUAGCGUUGAAAUGCGUAGAUAUCGAGAAGGAACACCAGUGGCGAAGGCGACUUCCUGGGCCAAUACUGA